AGAGACAACUACAACAAGUACAUGAUGGAAAAUAUUAUUUUUAAUUUAUUUAUUUAAAAUAUAUUUUGUGUUGAUAAAUGCUAAUGGUUCUAUAUUUGUAAUAAAAUAAAUGUCUUGACAUUAUUUUAAUAUUGAUUAUGUGAUCAUGAUAUUCAUUUUUAUUAUUAAAAAAAUUAAUUGAACAAUAACAAUUCAUCUCUAUUGUUAAAAUCAAAAAAUACUCUCAAAAGUGAAAAAAAAAAAACAAUGAUAAUAUAGAGAGAUGAGAUGACACUUUAUUUUUCAAAUAUCUUAUUUUUCAUAAUUUUUGAUAAUUUCAAUUUUUAAUUUCACAUAAAUAAUAUAAUUAAAUAAUUGAUUUGUCUUAAAAUAAUAAUAAUAAUUUAAUUAAGUAAAAAGUAAAGUUACAUGAUCAUUCAACUUAUAAUAUUUAUUUAAAAAUAAAUGCAACAAUAAUAUGAUAAUAAUUUUCCCACAACAAAAAAAACUAAUUAAAGAGGUGGCGGUAUAUUCUUCUUUUGCUAAUCUCUCUAUUUAUGUAGUAAUUUUAAUAUUUAUAACAAAUUAUGAAUAAUGCUAAUUAAUUAAUUAAGUAGUUGUAUGUUUAUUAUUAAAAAAAUUAAGUAAUAAUUAAUAUUAAUAAUUGUAACUUAUUAUUGAAAGUUUAAAUAAUGUUUUAUAUAUUUUUUUAUUAAUUUAUCAGUGAAAAAUUAUGUGUGUUAUUAGUGACUAUUAAUUUUGUUUUAAAAUAUAGUGAUCGUCGAUUUUUAAGAAAAAAUACACCUUAAAAACUUUUCUCAAAAGAUAUUUUAAUAAAUUAAUUGGUAAUAAUUAAAAAAAUUUAUAUAUGUAAGACUAAGAAUGAUAAGAUAAAUCAUAUUUUUUCAAUGUAUUUUUAUUAUUUUUUAGAAACUUCAGUUUUUUCUAUUCACAUUUAAAAAAUAAACUUUUUUCAAUAAUAUAUAUAGCUUAUGAUUUUUUUAAAACCGCGCAACGCGCGACUUUUGUUUCCUAGUAACUUGAUAUUACAAAAUAUAUAGUUAAUAAUAACUCCUCACAUUAUACCUUUAAACUUCUAAGACCUUUAGAAUGAAUGAUUAAAAUGCAAUAUAUAUCCACUAAUGUUUGGAUAAUUAGUGUACUAACUAUAUCUAAACUUGAAGAUAAGAUAGCACAAUGAUUACAAGUAAUAGGUUCUUUUGUGAAAUUAAUUCAACUAGUAAUGUGGCUCAUCAUUGUUGUGGGUCUUUUCAAAUCCUUGUCGUUAGUAUUAGUCUUUUAAAAUCAUCGUUGUCUACUUGUCUUCCAUGUUACUCUUGUUUGUAUACACAAUCAUAUUUAGUUUAAAAAUAAAAAUAUAUAAUAUAUAUUUGUGACAAAAUCACUCAUUGUCCCCUCUUGCAAUUAUAUCCAUAUAUAUUAUAUACUAUAUAUCCAUAUAUAUUAUACUAUAUUUAGUUUUGAAAUAAACAAUGUUUUUUAUAAUAGGGACCAGAUACAAAGUAAAAUUUUAAAAUAUUAUUAUUACGUACACAAAAAUAACUAAAAUUUGAUAAAUGUAUUUCAAACUAUAGUAACUAAUAAAAUGUAUUACAAUUACUCAUGACAAGUUUUCACGUGUUUGGAAGUGUAAUAUAAUAAUCUUAUUAACAACAUUUUUAAACAUUUAUUUUUUGUUUAUUUUUUGUGUACGUAGGUUGCUUAGUAUUGUAGAAGCUUAACAAUGUCGGAGAGAAUUUACAAGAGAGAAAUGUAGGGCUUAGAGAAAGAAAAUGCUAGAGAAGCUUAACCAAUUGGUUAGGUUAGAGACUUUUAUUUAUAAUGAUUGAAGAUACAAGAAUUUACAUUACAGAAAGCUAAUUAAAUUAACUAAACAUUACUAACUUUAACUAUCACUUAACUAAUAAUGAACAAUACAAAAGUUUAUUAGUUAACAUCCCUCAAACGAAAGGGUGAGGUAGCCAUUUCUUUUCAGGUAGUUAAAGCAAUCAGUAGUGAGAGGCUUUAAAAGAGCAUCAACAAUUUGAUUUAAUAAUAGCACAUAAUGCGUUGAAAGUUGUCUAGCAAGGAUUUGAUCACUAACAAAGUGUAGGUCAAUCUCAAUAUGUUUACAUCUGGCAUGAAACACCGAAUUGGAAGCUAGAGCAGUAGCACUUUGGUUGUCAAUCCAAAGAAUUGGAGUCUGAGUAAGAGGCACUUGAAGUUCAGACAGAAGGAGGUGAUCCAUCAAACUUUAGCAGCUAUAUUUGCUAGAGCUCGAAAUUCACUUUCAAUAUAUUGGAGCGAGCAAUAAUCUUUUGCUGAAUUAACAGAUCAUCAAAAUACUAAAUUGCUUCCCAAAAACAUCACAUACCCCUAGUUAAUCUCAUAUCAUCAACAUAGCUUGCCCAAUCUCCAUCAUUAUACCCUUGUUAACACAUAGUAUCUAAUGCUUGUAGCUUCAGUCCAUCUUUUAAACUAAGGUACCUCGAAGAUGCUUUAAGUAGUAUUUUGUAAGCCUCCCAGUAUGUCAUUUUUGGAGUAUGAAUGAACUUACUCGUUGAUGAUGAAAGCAACAUUUAGCCUUGUUAAAUUUAAGUAUUAUAAGGCACCCAAAGUCUUUUAUAUAGGGUAGUAUCUUUUAAGGGUUCCCAGCUAUAAGACUUAGUUUGGAGGUUGAACUUGUGGGGUUGGGACAACUUUUAGCUCAUUCUAUAUGAAGUCUUAUUAGAAGAUAAGUAAUAUACUUACUUUGGCUCAAAUAGAUUCCUGGAGCAUCCCUAUAAAUUUUCACUCCGAGAAAAUAGUGAACAUGGCCUAAGUCUGUCAAAGAGAAGGUGUAAUACCCGAAAUUAAGAAAUGGAUUAGCAAAAUCCUAAUUAAAUAAUUAUGAAUAAUUGAGGAAUUAUAUUAUUAUAUAGUUCAAUAUAUGUGAAAUUAUAUGAAAUUUAAUAUAUGAAAGACCCCGUUGGUGACCCAGGGGCAUUUUGGUAAUUAUGACCCGAGAAGGGUAAAUUGAUGAAAUUAAUUUAAUUACGUGCUUAAUAGAACUAUAUUUUUAUAUAGUAUGCCUGUGUUGUCUUUUCAGGUGUGUUCUGACAGGUUAGCACGGUAUAGUCACAACCGGGUAUUUCGGGCCGAACUGGGUUCGGGCCCGAAAUGCAAUUUAAAUUGAAAUAUCUGGCAUUUUAUUUAAUAUUGAGAAAUCUGAAAUUUAUUUGGCAAUAUUUGAGUGUGAAAUGGCAUUGUUGCCCUUGAAAAUGAGUAUGCAUGUUAAUUGGCCCUAAGGGCAUUUUGGUCAUUUGACCUCUUGCUAUUACAUUUGGAAAAUUAGAUUUUAUUGAGUAAAAUCAAAGUGGUUUUCUGGCUAAUGCUCUCUCUCACCCUCUCCCUUUCCCUCUCUUACCCUCUUUUUGGUUCAAAGCUUGAUUUGUGGGAAAUAGCUCAAAUUUGUGGUGGUUUGUGAGGGAAAAAGUUUGUGGAAGCUUGGUACUAUCUUGUGCAAGAGAUUGAGGUAGUUGUUUCAGUUUUUAAUUUAAUUCUCUUGCUGGAAUUUUAUGUUGGAAAAGCUUAGAUAAGUAAUUGUGAUCUUGAAAUGCAUGUGUUAGGUUGUUCUUGUUGCAUGUUAAGUGAAUUGAUGCUAAUUUUGGUUGAAUUGAGUUUGAAUUGUUGAAUGCUUUGAUGCUGAGAUUAUAUGGUGUUUCUAGGUUGCAAUUUCAGGUUUGAAAUUUAGUGUUUGUGGUUGGAAAACUAUUUGAAUAGUUGGUGAUAAAGCUCUAGUUCUUGAGCUUGAGUUUUCUUGGUUAAUGCAUGAUUUAGAAUUGAUUGUGUAGUUUGGAUUUUGAGAGUUAUUGUUGUUUGAGCUCUCUGUUGUGAUGAUUCUUAUCUUUAAGAAGUUAAUUUUGGGUAUGGUUUGAUUAAGGUUCGAAUAUAUGGUAAAGUGGGCAUGUUUAGACCUUAAAAUCUGGUUUUCUGAGUUUUUCGAACCCAGUGGCCGCGGCCAGAUCUAUGGUCGCCGCGGCCAUAAAACUCAGCAGAGAGCCAUCUUUUUUUCGAUUUUGUUUUGGCCAUAACUUUUGACUCGGGACUCCGUUUUGGACGUUCUUUAUAUCGUUGGAAAGCUCGUUCCAAGCUCUUUAUGAUUAUCUGUAUUUUGAAUGCCAAACUUUAUAUUUUGUGAAAGUGAAAUUAGGGAUUAACCCUAUUUGUGAAAUCCCGGGUUGUGUGACUAGGACUACCGGCACCCGAUCAGGAGCACCCAGGGGUUUGGAAUCUUUAUUAUUGCUGGACAACAGGAAAGGGUAAGAUUGUUGUUGAUCAGCCACGAGUGCAGGAGCUGGACGAAGAAUGUACAUGUCCGAGCCAUAUCAGACCAAGCGUGUUGGGGUCUACCAGUGUUGUGUUUUGGAGAAUCUGUUUUGCCGCUUAGGCCGGCCGAAAGAAAAAGGACUUGUAAUAAUAUUUUGAAAUGUUUUUGGGAUCCCAAUUUCUGUAACUUUUAGAUCGUAAAGUUUAAAUUAUUACAAGUUUUAUUUUUACUC